rnacentral:lncRNA from 1 species
UUUUGUAACAGUAAAUUUUAAUAACACAAAAAAUCCGUAUUUUCAUGCCAGAAGUACUGGCUACUGGGGUGGUGAUACCCUCGGGGACUUAUAGUCCACCAGCAGAGCAUGACCCGUGGUAGUAAUCAAAUUAACGGUACCAAUUUUAUUGCACCUGAUGCGCAUUUCGACAAUACAUGUCUCAUCAGUGAUGCUCGUGGCCACAAUAUUUGAAAUCCCAAGCUUAUAUAAAAGAUGAAGAGCUAUAAUCCAAAAGGUCCAAAAAGUAUAGCCAAAUCCGUGAAAGGAAUCAGAGCUUUGCAUGUAAUAUUGUAACUUAUCUGAUCGAUACAAAGUAAAUUACAUUUAAUGGAAAGUAAAAUAACAAAAAUACUCCAAGGAAAAUUUAAAAACACAAAAAGUCCCCAAUCAAUGGAAAUAUCAAAAGCUCAAAUACAUAAACCGG